rnacentral:rRNA from 1 species
CCCUUAGAUGUCCGGGGCUGCACGCGCGCUACACUGACUGGCUCAGCGUGUGCCUACCCUACGCCGGCAGGCGCGGGUAACCCGUUGAACCCCAUUCGUGAUGGGGAUCGGGGAUUGCAAUUAUUCCCCAUGAACGAGGAAUUCCCAGUAAGUGCGGGUCAUAAGCUUGCGUUGAUUAAGUCCCUGCCCUUCGUACACACCGCCCGUCGCUACUACCGAUUGGAUGGUUUAGUGAGGCCCUCGGAUCGGCCCCGCCGGGGUCGGCCCACGGUCCUGGCGGAGCGCUGAGAAGACGGUCGAACUUGACUAUCUAGAGGAAGUAAAAGUCGUAACA